rnacentral:rRNA from 1 species
UACGGAGGGUGCAAGCGUUAAUCGGAAUUACUGGGCGUAAAGCGUACGUAGGCGGCUUGUUAAGCAAGAUGUGAAAUCCCCGGGCUCAACCUGGGAACGGCAUCCGGAACUGUCAGGCUAGAGUGCAGGAGAGGAAGGUAGAAUUCCCGGUGUAGCGGUGAAAUGCGUAGAGAUCGGGAGGAAUACCAGUGGCGAAGGCGGCCUUCUGGACUGACACUGACACUGAGGUGCGAAAGCGUGGGUAGCAAACAGG